UACGUAGGUGACAAGCGUUGUCCGGAUUUACUGGGCGUAAAGAGCGCGCAGGCGGUCGUUCAAGUCGAGUGUGAAAGCCCCCGGCUCAACUGGGGAGGGUCAUUCGAUACUGAUCGACUCGAAGGCAGGAGAGGGAAGUGGAAUUCCCGGUGUAGUGGUGAAAUGCGUAGAUAUCGGGAGGAACACCUGUGGCGAAAGCGGCGCACUGGACCACAACUGACGCUGAGGCGCGAAAGCUAGGGGAGCAAACAGG
rnacentral:rRNA from 1 species